rnacentral:rRNA from 1 species
AAUGAACGCUGGCGGCGUGCCUAAUACAUGCAAGUCGAGCGAACAGACGAGGAGCUUGCUCCUCUGACGUUAGCGGCGGACGGGUGAGUAACACGUGGAUAACCUACCUAUAAGACUUGGAUAACUUCGGGAAACCGGAGCUAAUAACGGAUAAUAUAUUCAACCGCAUGGUUCAAUAGUGAAAGACGGUUUUGCUGUCACUUAUAGAUGGAUCCGCGCCACAUUAGCUAGUUGGUAAGGUAACGGCUUACCAAGGCAACGAUGCGUAGCCGACCUGAGAGGGUGAUCGGCCACACUGGAACUGAGACACGGUCCAGACUCCUACGGGAGGCAGCAGUAGGGAAUCUUCCGCAAUGGGCGAAAGCCUGACGGAGCAACGCCGCGUGAGUGAUGAAGGUCUUCGGAUCGUAAAACUCUGUUAUUAGGGAAGAACAAAUGUGUAAGUAACUAUGCACGUCUUGACGGUACCUAAACAGAAAGCCACGGCUAACUACGUG